AAUUCAAUUUCGAAUUUCGAAUUUCUAACCAAUUCCCAAACAUCCUCCAACAACCUAUUCAAAAUUCGAUUUCGAAUUUUGAAUUCACUAACCAUUUUCCAAAAAUCAUCCAACAACCCAUUCGAAAUUCGAAUUUCGAAUUCCCAACCAUUUCCUAAAACAUCAUCCAAUAACCAUUCAAAAUUCGAUUUCGAAUUUCGAAUCCCUAACCAUUUCCUACAACAUCAUCCAAUAACCCAUUCAAAAUUCGAUUUCGAAUUUUGAAUUCCCUAACCAAUUCCAAAUAUCAUCCAACAACCCAUUCAAAAUUCGAUUUCGAUUUUCGAAUUCCCAACCAAUUCCCAAAAUUGCAUCCAACAACCCCUUCAAAAUUCGAUUUCGAAUUUCGAAUUCCCAACCAAUUCCUAAAAUAUCAUCCAACAACACCAUUCAAAAUUCGAUUUCGAAUUUUGAAUUCCCUAACUAACUCCCAAAAUAUCUUCCAACUAUCCAACAACUCAUUCGAUUUCGAAUUCGAAUUUUGAAUUCCAACCACUCCCCAAAUAUCCUCGACCAUCCAACAAAUAAUUCAAAUUCGAAUUUCGAAUUUUUAAUUCUUAACUAACUCCUCCCUUUCCAUUAUAAAUACGGGAACCGAAAUCAAAUUCAGAGAAUUUUUU
rnacentral:lncRNA from 1 species